GUGAUGUGAUGCGCAAGUCCACCACUUAUACGUGAAUCAUCGAGUUGUUGAACGCACCGCACCGCGCCCUAAUCCGGCUGCGGUAUGCCCCUUUGAGCGUCAUUGUAUCCCUUCGGGAGUCUUUUCAUCGAGACCCGAGUUCGGAGUCCUCGGUCUUUGGAUCGUGUUCUCUCAGAUGCGUCGCGCCGAUCGCCUGAUGGGUCGCUCUAAUGCCUAAGCGUGGAGUCCCUCGGAGCCCGAAACGCGCUUGACCGGGUGUUGAGCCCGUGUCGCCAAGUCCGCACGUCUUACGUGGCGGUACUACAACGCAUGACCUCAUUGGGGUAGGACAACCCGCUAGACUUAAGCAUAUUAAUCAGCGGAGGAAAAGAAACUAACCAGGAUUCCCUCAGUAACUGCGAGUGAAGCGGGACCGGCUCAAUGUGUGAAUCUGGCUUGGGGUAGAUCCCUGGUCCGAGUUGUGCACUAUGGACGUUUCGUCUGCGUUUGUAAUGGCGGUGGAAGUCCGUUGAAACACGGCACCUCAGAGGGUCACAGUCCUGUACCACCUGCCUGCACUCGCGCCAAUGACAAGCGCUCCUCGAGUCGCGUAGUUUUGUAAUGCUGCGCCAAGUGGGAGGUAGAGACCUUCUAAGGCUAAAUAUGAUGACGUGACCGAUAGCACACAAGUACCGCGAGGGAAAGGUGAAAAGCAACCAUGAAAAAUGGGUUGAAACAGCAGUGAAAGCGCUACCGGGAUAAGGGCUAUCGGGUGCUGGGGCUUCUUGGGUGUGCUUCAGUGCUACCCUUGGAGACGGCCCGCGUGGGUUGAUGUUGGGGUGAUAGACGCGUCGUUGGAAUUCAGCUGUCUUUGGGCAGUGUUGUAGCCUUCGGUUGCCGAUCCUCCUGCGACCUUUGUAAUUGCGGGUCUUGCACCGUUA
rnacentral:rRNA from 1 species